rnacentral:lncRNA from 1 species
CCCAACAAAAUAAAAGUAUGACCCAUGAAAUUAAAAUAAAUCGGCCCAUGAGAUUUAAUUAUCCACCAAGAAAUCGGCCCAAUUAGAAGCAAACCCAUUUUCUUCACAACCACCCUUUUCUCUCUCCUUCCUCACACCCACCGCCCCCUCUCUGUCUAAUCUCUCCUCAUUCAUUUUCUCUCUCUCGAAACUGACCACGCCGCCGCCCUCCUUCCGGCGUGAAUCUCCAGCAGUCGUGCCCCCUCCACCGCGAAUCUCCGGCAGUCGCACCCCCUCCACCGUGAAUCCCCGGCAGUCGUGCCCCCUCCACCGCGAAUCCUUGACAGCAGACGGCCAAGGAGGGCCGUCGUUGCCACUGCUCCUUUCUCGGCUGCUUCAGCGGCGCCUGCCCUUCAGCCCCGCCGCCCUGCUCAGCCGCCUCGCCUCCUGCCGCCUCGCCUCCUGCCAGCCAACAGCCGUCCGUUGAGAGUGAGAAUCCCGAUUCGCGAAUCGGAUUCGCGAAUCAAAUUUUUUUUUUUUUGAUUUUUGGGGGGAUUCGCCAGGUGGCGAAUCCCGUGCGAAUCCCACGCGAAUCGCGCCCGCACCCGCCCCCCGCGCGAAUCGGAUACUGCAAUGUGUUGGUUUAUGGCGAAUCCGUGCA